rnacentral:lncRNA from 1 species
GGAAGAUGUUGGGUAAAAUGGUAGAGCUAGGAAUGGAGUUUUAGUCUAGGCUUGGUCACUGGUCCCAUUGAGCUAAUUAGAGAGAUGAGUAAGGGUGAUAACCAGAAAGAGGAGAUCAAAUCAAGGUGGCCACAUAAGAGGAACAGAUAAAGGCGGUCGGAUGGUCCAGAUGCUGACAUGGGCUUUAAGCAGAGGAAGAAUAGGGGCAGAAUGGGUGAGAUGGAAAUAAUUAAACUGCCUCGGUCAACGUGUCUGUUUGUCCUGGUGUUGCCUGGCUGAUCAUUACCUCACUUCCGGUUCUGUAAGGUCAUUGUCCCCAGAGUCCAUGCGGAUGUUACGGCUUGGCCCAAUCCUCUGGCUCAUUACAGAUUUCAUGUGUGCUCCGGUGUACAGCUCAUCUCCAUCUGGCGAUAGUCUGUCCUGUGAGGUUUUGUGCCUCGGGGAAUCCAAGAUGCCGAUGGCCAUCCUACUGAGCACCGGCUGAGUCUCCAUCGUGCAGACUGUCCAGUGGCAGGAUCUCUUACUUGGGAAGUGAGUUUCUAUCAAACAAGGUAUUUGGUGUCACAUCUUGCUCUCUACCCUCUUCUCUG